rnacentral:rRNA from 1 species
UACGUAGGGUGCAAGCGUUAAUCGGAAUUACUGGGCGUAAAGCGUGCGCAGGCGGUUUUGUAAGUCUGUCGUGAAAGCCCCGGGCUCAACCUGGGAAUUGCGAUGGAGACUGCAAGGCUUGAAUCUGGCAGAGGGGGGGUAGAAUUCCACGUGUAGCAGUGAAAUGCGUAGAGAUGUGGAGGAACACCGAUGGCGAAGGCAGCCCCCUGGGUCAAGAUUGACGCUCAUGCACGAAAAGCGUGGGGAGCAAACAGG